rnacentral:rRNA from 1 species
GAUGAACGCUGGCGGCGUGCCUAAUACAUGCAAGUCGAGCGAAUGGAUUAAGAGCUUGCUCUUAUGAAGUUAGCGGCGGACGGGUGAGUAACACGUGGGUAACCUGCCCAUAAGACUGGGAUAACUCCGGGAAACCGGGGCUAAUACCGGAUAACAUUUUGAACCGCAUGGUUCGAAAUUGAAAGGCAGCUUCGGCUGUCACUUAUGGAUGGACCCGCGUCGCAUUAGCUAGUUGGUGAGGUAACGGCUCACCAAGGCAACGAUGCGUAGCCGACCUGGGCGGGUGAUCGGCCACACUGGGACUGAGACACGGCCCAGACUCCUCCGGGAGGCAGCAGUAGGGAAUCUUCCGCAAUGGACGAAAGUCUGACGGAGCAACGCCGCGUGAGUGAUGAAGGCUUUCGGGUCGUAAAACUCUGUUGUUAGGGAAGAACAAGUGCUAGUUGAAUAAGCUGGCACCUUGACGGUACCUAACCAGAAAGCCACGGCUAACUACGUGCCAGCCGCCGCGGUAA